CCUACGGGCGGCUGCAGUGGGGAAUAUUGGACAAUGGGGGCAACCCUGAUCCAGCCAUGCCGCGUGUGUGAAGAAGGCCCUCGGGUCGUAAAGCACUUUCAGUGAGGAAGAACGCCUGGUGGUUAAUACCCAUCAGGAAAGACAUCACUCACAGAAGAAGCACCGGCUAACUCCGUGCCAGCAGCCGCGGUAAUACGGAGGGUGCGAGCGUUAAUCGGAAUUACUGGGCGUAAAGCGCGCGUAGGUGGCUUGAUAAGCCGGUUGUGAAAGCCCCGGGCUCAACCUGGGAACGGCAUCCGGAACUGUCAAGCUAGAGUGCAGGAGAGGAAGGUAGAAUUCCCGGUGUAGCGGUGAAAUGCGUAGAGAUCGGGAGGAAUACCAGUGGCGAAGGCGGCCUUCUGGACUGACACUGACACUGAGGUGCGAAAGCGUGGGUAGCAAACAGGAUUAGAUACCCUUGUAGUC
rnacentral:rRNA from 1 species